UGCCCAGGUUGGCCUGGUAUUUGUGGAGAGUGCCUCGGCCUCCUGAGUUCCUGGGAUGACAGACGUGUGCCACUAUGUCUGGUACCAGCAGGCAUCUUGGUAGAUGGGACCACAGUAUCCUGAUGCAGGGUGGGCACAGGCCCUGGCUGGUCCUCCGAGAAGGGGACUAAGACCUGGAUUAAGGACUAAGGUCCUGCUCUCUGGCAGGAAAGCUCUGGGAGGGAAGGUGGGGCUGCAACCUUUUGAGUUAAAGACCCUGAGGCUUAACAGACACACACCCUGAGCCCAAGGGCUCUGGCCACAGCCACCCCCAGGCCCUACAGGCACUCAGGACAGGGCCCUUGGAGGUGCAGGCAUUGUCCCAUGUGCCUGGGGCAGCAAGAACAGUAGCUUCCCUUGGGACAGCACCACCACCGAGCCUGGCAGUGAACCUGAUGUCCACACACACAAGAGCCAACGGCUGCCGACUCCCUGUGGAGGCCAACUCUCAACGUGAUCCAACCUUGAACAGAGGAGAGCCCUAGUGAUAUCUCCAGGGCUGGCCUGGGGGGAGGACCCGAGGGAGGGGCUCUGCCACAGUCAUUCAGGGAGGAUCAGAGAGGGAAUCCACUUUAUUUAAUCCUUUGCUUCUGGGAGGGUAAAAAGGAAGCGGCUUGUCCCCCAGGCAUCAGAGAAAGGAAGGUGCAGUUCAGAGAAGGGUCCUGGAUAAGAGGAGGCGGGGAGCUGCUGGGGUCCCUGGUGCAGAGAGGCUCUCUUGCUGGCCUAUUUUUCUUGCAGGCCUGAAAGCCAAACAAUGGAAGGACCUGCAACAAGGGACGUCAGACAUCGGGAAGGUCCUAUGCUGGGGUGCUCUGAAGCACUGGAGUGACAGGAGGGAUUCCCCAGGCGGCCUGCCUGCUCCUAAAGCAGAGGUCUGCAGGCAGAGGAACGGCAUGCAGGUUUGGGGGACCUGGUGGCCUUGGAGGAUGGGGCAAAGCAGAGGUCUCUGGCAGAGAUGGGGGCGAAUGGGCUGGCAGUCCUCCGCUCUCCUGGCCGCCCUGCUGCUGCGCCAAGGUGCCGUUGGUGGGAAGGGGGCGGCGGGCAGCCUGCGGUUUCUCCUGGGCUUUGAUUUAUUGCCUAAUGCAGGCAGAGAAGAAAGGGGAGGCUCAUCUCUAAGCCAGAGUCUUAGGAGCGGGACGUGAGUCUCCCAUCUUCUGAAGGCCCAGCAAACAGAGCCCUGCUCUCUAAUUCAGCUGCAGGUCUGAGCCUGCCACGGGGCACAGACAUGCCACCAAGUAGGCCUCUUGCACUGCGCCUCUGGUUCAGAAUCCCCCACCCCCAUGGCUCUGUGCUUAUGGGGAGCAAGACGGAGGGCAGAGGCAGGAAGGAGACCUGGGAGGCAGGAGCAGAGGUGCCAAGAGGGAGAGAAAGGUCUGAGACAGAAGAGGAGGCUGAGGACAGACAGGAGGCACCCACGGGCAGAGUAGAGAAUGGAGGAGGGACAGCAGCCAGGACAGCCCUGAGAGUGAGAUUCAGAGGCAGAUGGAGAGAGACCUGGGGACCAGAGGUGCCCCAACAACACCAAUUACGUGGGAAAAGAAGAAAGUGCUUAGGUUUGGAUGAUUGGCUGGACCAUGUGGGAAGGCCCCUGCUAGUCCAAAAGCAACUUUAAGAAAAAAUUUAAAAAGAUAUCUCAGUGUCUGAGUGGGGUGCUGUAUCCAACCAGGGCACAGAACUGGAUUUCAGUCCCUUAUCCCCUCAGGCUCAACUACCCAAAGACCUGCAAGUCUAGUUAGGGCCAAAGGAGUAACAGAGCUGGGGGAUGCUCAGCCAGCACCUUAGGGAAGCUUCCAAAUGACCGUUCUUUUGCUUCAGAAUCCACCCCCUAAGAUCCUCAUUUUCUUCCUAAUCCCUGGGGUAAGGAGCCUUUCCAGGAAGCCCACCUCCAGAGUCAGUGCUUCCACCUCCUCCACCCUUCCUCGUCAUAAGGACCCAAGAAGGCCUCAGGGAGGACAGUAUUGUUGAGCUGAAGGAAGGUGAAAGGGAUUGGGCAGAAGCAGCCUGAAGGCUGAAGGAGAAGAUAGGAGAAUGAGCUAAUGCACAUUUGAGCCUCAAAAAGAAAAAUGAGCAAAGAAAACCCAUCUGGAUUCUUCCUCCCUAGAAACAGUCUUCUGCCUCUCCUGGCCUGAGGGUCUCAGGGAGGGUGCUGCAACUGAACUCUUCCCCCACCAAGCCCUGUGCCUUAGGGCAUUACUCAUGGCACACACACAAAAAAAACUUCACUUCUCCCUAUGGUGGCCACCCUGGCAGGUGCAAUUCAACAUUUGUUUCCAGUCAAAUGUAAACAUUUGUUUACAGUCAACAUUUGUUUACAGUUUAUUGCAGAUAAGACAAAGCAAAGCAUUGGACAUAAUGAGUGAAAAUAAAGUGAAGAUAAAGUCAAAAUA